rnacentral:lncRNA from 1 species
UUGUUGCCUUGAUGCCUUAAUUUCCGAAUUUGGCUUAGUGUCUGGCCGAAUAUGUUUGUUGUGAUUGCAUCUUGAAUCUUUAACGACUUGAGUCUUGAAUUCGCCUUGAAUCUGCGGAGAAAUACGCAAAAUCCAGAUCUUCCCAUAUGAAGGGACGCAGAUCAUAUGGGUCUACUUGAGCCGGGCUCACUCCUGAUUCUGCUUUACUCAAAGAGCAGUGAAGACAGCCUAGUGUCUGAAGUUGUACUGAGCUGAGAUCGUAUGGGACAACACGUGGCUACCAACGAUUGCCCUAACCACGUCAUAUCCUCAUUAAGUCAACUACAAGUUCGCUUGUUCUUCAAGCCUCGAAAGUGAAAUAUGAAAAUCAUCAUGAGAUACCUUUCAAUGAGCACUACUCCGUAUUCCAUACUUGAAUUCAUUCUUGUUGACUCGGAGUCUUGGCUGAAAUUUUAGUGAGCACUAUGCCUAACGAGUAACGACAAAGCCUAAAACCUAAAACCAGGCUACUUACUGUAGGGGCCAGGGCUUUGAUAAGCUGGAAUUGAACUACAGAGUACGGAGUGCGCUCAUGGCAAGUUCUAUCUACUGCGCCCCGUCAAAAGUACUGUUCGAUCAAUCUGGGUUACGUACUACGUUUGCUGGCGACCAUCUGAUAUCUGUCCAGCACGUGUAGAUCCUUCGAUAUACAAUAUAAAAGCGCACAUGUGAUACUCCAGCAGUCUCGAUAACUGCUCGUAGUAAAUUAGUUAACUACUUCAGUUAACUAGUUAUUGCCCCUUUAGUCAAGACUAUAGCAUCGGAAGAAUCCGUGCAGCAAUACGUGGGUAUGUAUGUAACUAAGCGAGCCGAUGCCGUCAAUUAGAGUUUUGGCAUCGCCUGCAGCGGCAUGGCGGGUUUGCACGUGGUUGCGGCAUUUGAUUGGCCCUCAAACACGCUGAUACGCUCGUACUCCAC